CGUACACUCCUGCGGGAGGCAGCAGUGAGGAAUAUUGGACAAUGGGUGGAAGCCUGAUCCAGCCAUCCCGCGUGCAGGAAGACGGCCCUAUGGGUUGUAAACUGCUUUUAUCUGGGGAUAAACCUACUUACGUGUAAGUAGCUGAAGGUACCAGAAGAAUAAGCACCGGCUAACUCCGUGCCAGCAGCCGCGGUAAUACGGAGGGUGCAAGCGUUAUCCGGAUUUAUUGGGUUUAAAGGGUCCGUAGGCGGACUGAUAAGUCAGUGGUGAAAUCCGACAGCUUAACUGUCGAACUGCCAUUGAUACUGUUAGUCUUGAGUAAGGUUGAAGUGGCUGGAAUAAGUAGUGUAGCGGUGAAAUGCAUAGAUAUUACUUAGAACACCAAUUGCGAAGGCAGGUCACUAAGUCUUAACUGACGCUGAUGGACGAAAGCGUGGGGAGCGAACAGGAUUAGAAACCCCGGUAGUCCCA
rnacentral:rRNA from 1 species